rnacentral:rRNA from 1 species
AGUGAACGCUGGCGGUAGGCCUAACACAUGCAAGUCGAACGGCAGCACAGUAAGAGCUUGCUCUUACGGGUGGCGAGUGGCGGACGGGUGAGGAAUACAUCGGAAUCUACUUUUUCGUGGGGGAUAACGUAGGGAAACUUACGCUAAUACCGCAUACGACCUACGCGUGAAAGCAGGGGAUCUUCGGACCUUGCGCGAUUGAAUGAGCCGAUGUCGGAUUAGCUAGUUGGCGGGGUAAAGGCCCACCAAGGCGACGAUCCGUAGCUGGUCUGAGAGGAUGAUCAGCCACACUGGAACUGAGACACGGUCCAGACUCCUACGGGAGGCAGCAGUGGGGAAUAUUGGACAAAGGGCGCAAGCCUGAUCCAGCCAUACCGCGUGGGUGAAGAAGGCCUUCGGGUUGUAAAGCCCUUUUGUUGGGAAAGAAAAGCAGCAGGUUAAUACCCCGCUGUUCUGACGGUACCCAAAGAAUAAGCACCGGCUAACUUCGUG